rnacentral:lncRNA from 1 species
AUGGUGUCUAAAAUCAAGAUGUCAAUUCACAAAUACCAAGUUUUUUUUGGGGGGGGGACUGCUUAAUGUUGAUAUUUAUUUUAUUUCAGAGGGAUCUUGAAAGACAUCAGCAGGGAAGAACCAUCAUGUACAAUGCACAUAACGAGUAGUUCGUUCUGGAGCUGUUGCAUGGGCUGACGGUGAAACGAUCCUCCCAAGCUGUGUCAGGUUGGAAGCGGAGCGUCGCUGCAGAGGCUAUUUUCAGGUCUCUCCAGCGAUGUUAGAUCGGGUUCAAGUCCGGGCUCUGGCUGGGCCACUCAAUGACAUUCAAAAACUUGUCCCGAAGCAA